UACGUAGGGUGCGAGCGUUAAUCGGAAUUACUGGGCGUAAAGCGUGCGCAGGCGGUUCGUUAAGUUCGAUGUGAAAGCCCCGGGCUCAACCUGGGAACUGCAUUGGAAACUGGCGAGCUUGAAUGCGGCAGAGGGGGGUGGAAUUCCGCGUGUAGCAGCGAAAUGCGUAGAGAUGCGGAGGAACACCGAUGGCGAAGGCAGCCCCCUGGGCCGACAUUGACGCUCAGGCACGAAAGCGUGGGGAGCAAACAGG
rnacentral:rRNA from 1 species